AUUGAACGCUGGCGGCAGGCUUAACACAUGCAAGUCGAGCGGGGGAAGGUAGCUUGCUACCGGACCUAGCGGCGGACGGGUGAGUAAUGCUUAGGAAUCUGCCUAUUAGUGGGGGUCAACAUCUCGAAAGGGAUGCUAAUACCGCAUACGUACUACGGGAGAAAGCAGGGGAGCUUCGGACCUUGCGCUAAUAGAUGAGACUAAGUCGGAAUAGCUAGUUGGUGGGGGAAAGGCCUACCAAGGCGACGAUCUGUAGCGGGUCUGAGAGGAUGAGCCGCCACACUGGGACUGAGACACGGCCCAGACUCCUACGGGAGGCAGCAGUGGGGAAUAUUGGACAAUGGGGGGAACCCUGAUCCAGCCAUGCCGCGUGUGUGAAGAAGGCCUUAUGGUUGUAAAGCACUUUAAGCGAGGAGGAGGCUACUUUAGUUAAUACCUAGAGAUAGUGGACGUUACUCGCAGAAUAAGCGCCGGCUAACUCUGUGCCAGCCGCCGCCGUAAGAC
rnacentral:rRNA from 1 species